CCACACUGAUGCCAUAUUCUUGACACUCAGUUGUAGAUCUUCUUUGGAGCCUCUGAUCCCUUGAGAGCCAGGAAACAUGUCUUACCAGCAGCAGCAGUGCAAGCAGCCCUGCCAGCCACCUCCUGUGUUGAUACCUGAGCCUUGCCCCCAACCAAAAUGCCCUGAGCCUUGCCCCCAACCAAAAUGCCCUGAGCCUUGCCCACCACCAAAGUGCCCUGAGCCUUGCCCCCCACCAAAGUGCCCUGAGCCUUGCCCCCUACCAAAGUGCCCUGAGCCAUGUCCACUUCCUUCAUGCCCACCUGUGCAGUGCCCACCUCAAUUAUGCCAGCAGAAGUGCCCUCCUGUUCAACUGUGCCCACCCUGCCAACAGGAGUGUCCACCCAAGAGCAAGUAACUGCACCAACAUUCAUCAGGACCACGAAACGACAGGAUCCAGGAUCUUCUUAGUCCCAGGACUCCAUCAUCCUCCUUUCAGCCAUGGUGACAGACUGCAUCUUCCCUAAUCUCCCACCUGGAUUGACAGAUGACAGAUAAAAGACUUGUUAGAAGAUGAAUGAAAGUAUCAUCACCUGACAUGGCUUUGUCAUCUGUCUGUUUGUAAUAUGAGUGGUGAUCGCUAUCCUGUGAGCACUUUGGUGUCUCUUCUUUUGCUUCUCCAAUAAAGUACAUGUUUCAUGGUCAA